rnacentral:rRNA from 1 species
UACGUAGGGUGCGAGCGUUGUCCGGAAUUAUUGGGCGUAAAGAGCUCGUAGGCGGUUUGUCGCGUCGGCCGUGAAAACUUGGGGCUUAACCCCAAGCCUGCGGUCGAUACGGGCAGACUUGAGUUCGGCAGGGGAGACUGGAAUUCCUGGUGUAGCGGUGAAAUGCGCAGAUAUCAGGAGGAACACCGGUGGCGAAGGCGGCAUCCUGGACCGGUAUUGACGCUGAGGCGCGAAAGCCAGGGGAGCAAACGGG